GGAUGCUAAUACUGCAAGUCGAGCGGAUCUUCUCCUUCGGGGGAAGUUAGCGGCGGACGGGUGAGUAACACGUAGGCAACCUGCCCACAAGACUGGGAUAACAUUCGGAAACGAAUGCUAAGACCGGAUACGCAAGCCUGGGGCAUCCCGGGCUUGGGAAACACGGCGCAAGCUGUGGCUUGUGGAUGGGCCUGCGGCGCAUUAGCUAGUUGGUGGGGUAACGGCCCACCAAGGCGACGAUGCGUAGCCGACCUGAGAGGGUGAACGGCCACACUGGGACUGAGACACGGCCCAGACUCCUACGGGAGGCAGCAGUAGGGAAUCUUCCACAAUGGGCGAAAGCCUGAUGGAGCAACGCCGCGUGAGUGAGGAAGGCUUUCGGGUCGUAAAGCUCUGUUGCCAGGGAAGAAUAAGGGCCAGUUAACUGCUGGUCCGAUGACGGUACCUGAGAAGAAAGCCCCGGCUAACUACGUGCCAGCAGCCGCGGUAAUACGUAGGGGGCAAGCGUUGUCCGGAAUUAUUGGGCGUAAAGCGCGCGCAGGCGGUUCUUUAAGUCUGGUGUAUAAGUGCGGGGCUCAACCCCGUGAGGCACUGGAAACUGGGGAACUUGAGUGCAGAAGAGGAGAGCGGAAUUCCACGUGUAGCGGUGAAAUGCGUAGAGAUGUGGAGGAACACCAGUGGCGAAGGCGGCUCUCUGGACUGUAACUGACGCUGAGGCGCGAAAGCGUGGGGGAGCAACCAGAUUANAUACCCUGGUAGUCCACGCCGUAAACGAUGAGUGCUANGUGGUNGGGGGGGAUCGGCCCCUUCGGUGGCCGAAGUAACCCCAUUAAGCACUCCGCCCUGGGGAGUACGCC
rnacentral:rRNA from 1 species